CCGCUCCACGCACUUGCGCCCAAUCCCAUCUUCUCCCGUCCUGCUCCACACCAGCCGCCACACAACCCUAGCCCCUUUCCCAUCGAUCCCCACAGCCCCUCCCUCCUUCUCGCUCCUCGCCAUGGCCCAUUCCCACGGCCCCUCCCUCCUCCUCGCUCCUCGCCAUGGCCUCCUACUCCCCUCCACCACCAUACGUGCACACAGACGGCGGUGCCGGAGAAGAGCAGCUCCAGUCAUGGUGGGGUGCGGCUGCGACGGAGAUGAAGGAGGUCCGCCGCCCAUGUUUGUCUCCUUGCUGUAUCCUUUGUUACCGAUCCUCCCUUCUCCCUUCGCCCCUAGCAGCACAGCAGUCGGGGACAAGGGGAAGGAGCAGGUCGACCCGAAUCCAUCUCUCUGCAAGAGGACUAGAGGAGCAGGUGGCGAGGGAAACCGGCACGGUCAGCGGCGGCGCUGCACAGGGACGUCCACCUCCGGUUUUCUGUCCUAUCUCCGAUUCCCUUCCGUUUAAGUGUGUUAUUUUUCCUCUUGGCCCGAUCUUCUCACAUGUUUGGGGUCUCGUGCUGUAGGGAUAAGAUCUGAAACGGGAGGUGUGGUAUAAUGCAUAGGUGUAUAAUCUUGGCUAUAUCUAUGCUGGUGAUUUGGCUACCAACUACUAAAUCUACGAAUCAUUUGAAAAUGUUGAACUUGUUGUCAGACAUGUUUUGAUUAUGCUUUUAAGCACUAUGCUUUCCUGAUUCAGUGCCAUUUAUGUGGUGCAGGAGAAUGUCGAUUUAAAGCAUUUGGUUCUGAUGGAUCAUAUUAUUGGUUCUCUGUUCAACUGAAGAUGUCUUUAGAUAGGACUAAGGUGAGUUGAGUUGUGGCUUGGUUGGAGAUGUUGAUGUUGUUUGAGACGCCCGCUGGAUUCACCCUUUUCAAGGUUCUGAACAAGGGCAAGCUCGAGGUCGAGGGGUAUAUGGACCACAAAUGAUGUGAUAUACUUGGUUAUUUCAAGAUGAGUACGGCUCAGCAGGAAGGUCAACCGUGGGGAAGCGCAACAUAGCGCGGCCUCAGCCAGUUAGGCUUGUUACAAGCUUCAGCUGGAUCAAAUAGUGGGCCUUCUAUAUAUAUCUUCAGCUGUAUCAUUGCUUACUAUAUGUAUCUUCCUGUCGACCAGAAAAAACAAUACAUCGAUUCUUUGCCUCCUUAUUUCUUGCUCAGAUCCCAUGAUACAACCUCGGUGGCUGGCCAGCGACUAACAGGGUGCACCACCGAUGGUGAAAAUACCUCACAGGAUGAUGUUGGACAUUCUUCUACAAACUUCAGGCCUACCGGUGGCUGAGUCGAAGCAAAAUGUGAUCAUGGCAUGAUGAUACAAAAUCAUAAUCCUUGUUCCUAUGGAAGCAAAAGGAUUCAUGAAACCCAUGGUGAAAAAAGAGAUAAGAUACUACAAUUACAGUAGCAUGGAGAAACCGAGGACACAAAAUGAGUCUGAAGAAUGUUAUGGCAGAUUCGUUCUAGCUAGGUACAUGCGGGCUUCUCUUACAUAUAUGCAACGUAAGAAUGUGAAUGACCAGAACUAUUGUGAUGUUGCUCUAUUGUAAGAGUACAAAUAACUCAUGGCUAUCUUUCUUUUGUUUA